AUACAUUCAGUCGAGCCCUAUCUCCCUCAAUCGCCCUAUCCCCUUCAAUCGUCGUCUUCGGCAUAUCAGUAAGCAACAAAAGGAAAAGAAUUAACAAAUCAAACAUCACCCUCUUCGGUAAACCCCUCCUCCCUAUAGAAAGCCACAACUCAUCACUCUGUUGUCUGCAUGUCCUCAUAUUUCUCCCACUGCAAACUCCAUACAUAUCUCUCUCAUCUCACUCCAUCCAUCCGUCCCUCUCACAUUGAAACCCUUGACAGCAAUUCUGCAUAUUGAAACUAUUUGAGCAGGUAAUUUCAGUCUUUAGGUUUUCAAUUUAUAUUUACAUUAAUCCAAUGUAAAAAUAAAAUGUAUUUAUCUCAUCUACCCCUAAUUUUGUUUUGAUUUCCUCUAUUUCUCUCCUCCCCCUAACAAGCCCUAAAUUUUAACUUGUCGAUAAGUGGUUUGUGGUGGC
rnacentral:lncRNA from 1 species